ensembl:lncRNA
AUGAAGAGAAUGCCCACAACAGUUUUCUUCUGUGUUCUAGACAUUUUACUAAACCUAUUUGCUAUUCUGGAAGCUGUGCAUAUCCUUGGUCUGUACUUGGCUCAGCAGCCAGAGGGCUCCUCGGCCCCACCAUAUAACCCAGGAGGACCCAGUGCCCCCAUCUCUUGGAGGCUCUGUGUCAUUUCUAAAGCUGGCAUGACUGUUUCAUUUCAGACUGCCUCAUGCUCCCUCCCCGGCCUGAGAGAGAGACCUGGUAGGCUUAUCCUACAGGAGCGUUUACGUUCUCAGUACAUGCAGAAGAUAGCAGACCUACUCUCUUGCCAAGCAGUUGAGAUUCAGAUGAUAUCUUCUUUGGACCCAUUUGAAAGGACACGUCUUCAAGGAGCCCUGUAUGAAAAGAGGCCAUCCUUUCCUUUUGACCAAGAAAUUAAAUGAACGUGUGGAUGUGUUGGUGUGCCGGGGCUAUUUUUAGCAGGUUAGAAGAAACCUGGUUCAUCUUAGAUCCCAGGGUUGACCUCCCAGGGGUGGUUGAAAAACCAGAGGAGACAUGGGGGGCACAACAGUGGCGGGACAGCUGCUGGUACUUGGGGUGAGGGUGGUGGUGGGGACCCAAGGGGUGAUAGUCUAGAAUGCAAAGCACAGGGCCACAUGAGGAAACGUGAUUUCAUCCCAAAACUUGAUUAGGUGGAAGUGCUGGGAAGCGCUGGGAGAAAUAGCCUCCCACACAGGGCUCAUCUCCCUCAUUCUCCACAAGAGCAAACACAUCUGCUUUUUUUAGGGUUUCCUUUUACCUCUGCCCCACAUUGCUGCAGUUUUCAUCAGAAGCCACAAGGAGCUCGAGAUCUACUUCCUCAUUUGUAAAGUGACUUUCUUGGUCAUGGCUCCCAUCACGUUUCUGUGGGGGGGGAACCAUUGCUCAAGGACUCCACCAACACAAGCUUUCGUGAGGAAAUACCAGGCGGCGUUGAGAUUGUCUUCUGGCUGGGUUCUGGAAGCCUGGGUAACACGUGCAGACCCGCAGGUGCAAUGCUUUUAUCUCCCACAUGGGCAAGGCGCACACUUGAGGCGAUGACCUUGAAACAAGGCUGGGGUGGGGGGCAAGUGUUGCUACUUUUUUGACUUUGCUUGGCUUUUGCUUUCUGAUCUGGUUUCUCUGAGGGAUCAUGCGAACCGCUGAGCAGCAUGUGCAGCUGUUGAACCAAGAAGGCCAGCCCAGCCUUCCGCACCCGCACCCCCCACCCCAGCCCCAACUGCAGACAUGGGGCUCAGGAGGGGCUGUCCCAGCAAAUUCUGUUCAGUUUUGUCAACAUAAAGUCACAUAUAGAAUACCUCCAUCUAUCUGACUGCUUCCUGACCUGCAGUUCUGCCCUCGAUGGCACUCAUCGCUCCCUGUUCUUUGAUGAGCAUGGCUCCUACCAGUGCUUGCUAAGGCUUGAAGGACAGGUCUGUGUCCAGGCCCUUUACUCCAACCUGGGUGGGUGCUUCCUGAGAGCAGGGCCAUGUCACAAUGCCCUGAUCUCACAGGGGCUGUGGAUGCUCAGAUAAUGUUUGUUGAGUGAAUAGAGAAAGGAGUGCUAGAUGAUGGAAAUUUACAAGUGGGUUUUUUUUAAGUAUCUAUCUAUCUAUCUAUCUAUCUAUCUAUCUAUCUUAAAGAUUUGGUUUAUUUAUUCAUGAGAGACAGAGAGAGAGGCAGAGACAUAAGCAGAGGGAGAAGCAGGCUCCCUCUGGGGAGCCUGAUGCGAGACUUGAUCCCAGGAUCCUGGGAUCAUGACCUGAGCCACAGGCAAGAUGCUCAACCACUGAGCCACCCAGGCAGCCCUUCUUUAUUUAUUUAAACAGAGAAAGUGCACAAGAGCACAAGCGGGAUGGAGUGGGGAGCAAGGGGUAGAGGAAGAGGGAGAGAGAGAAUCUCAAGCAGACUCUGCAGUGCGUGCAGAGCCUGACGGGGCUCCCAUCUCACCAUCCUGAGAUCAGGACCUGAGCCAAAGGCAGAUGCUUAACUGUCAGAGCCACCCAGGUACCCCCAGUUUCAUUCUUUUACAUGUCUAGUUUUCCCAGCACCAUUUGCUGAAGAGACUGUCUUUUCCCCACUGGAUAUCCUUGCCUUCUUUGUUCAUAGAUUAAUUGGCCAUAUAGCAUGGGUUUAUUUCUGGGCUCCUCUAUUCUGUUCCAUUGACCUGUGUGCCUGUUGUGUGCCAUACUGUUGUGAUUACUACGUUUGGUAGUGUAGAGUGGAAUCAGAGAGCAUGGUACCUUCAGCCCUGUUCUUUCUCAAGAUUGCUCUGGCUGUUUGGGGUCAGCCCUGUAGCAACCAUUGUGCCUUUUACUUAUAUUCUCAUCCUACUAUGCAAAUAUUCCUUAGAAAUCUAAACCUCUAUCCACCUAUAUCCCUAAUUUUAGUUUUUUAAGGACCUCUUCUGAAUUCCUUUCAAAAGUAGCAAAGUAGCCUAGCUAUAUAAUAUAAACAAAUAGCUCUUCAUACAAGAUUCAAUACGGGUUCUACUCCCGUGGCAAACUCUAAGCCUUGGCUUCGACACACUAUACCUAGAUCACACCCUCAGUGUAAGUUGUUAACAGUAAGACAAACAUCUGCAGUGCAGAUCAUCAGAAUAAACCCACUGCAGAGUUAAGCGCA